UACGUAGGGUGCGAGCGUUGUUCGGAAUUACUGGGCGUAAAGCGUGCGCAGGCGGUUAUAUAAGACAGAUGUGAAAAUCCCCGGGCUUAACCUGGGAACUGCGUUUGUGACUGUAUAACUCGAGUGUGGCAGAGGGGGGUGGAAGUUCCACGUGUAGCAGUGAAAUGCGUAGAGAUGUGGAGGAACACCGAUGGCGAAGGCAGCCCCCUGGGUCAACCACUGACGCUCAUGCACG
rnacentral:rRNA from 1 species